UAAAAAUGAUUACAAAAUCAUAUAAGUAGAAAGUAUCAUUUAAUAAUUAUUAAAAUUAAGGAUAUAUAUAUAUAUAUAUAUAUUAAAAUUAUUUUAAAUUAAACUAUAUACCAUAUAAAAUACAUAAAUAUUUUAAUUUCAAAAUUACUUUGAACAAAAUUUUCUUGAUAAAAUCUUUCGGCAAACAUCAACAACUUAAUAUUUCAAUAAUAUAUAAAUUACUAAAAUUAUUAUUCCCACAAUGAAAAUUUUAUUAUCAGUAAUUUAAAAUUUUUGCUAUAAGAAAUACACAUGAUCAAAAAAAUCAUAUGAGUAGAAACCAUCAUUUAAUAGACAUUAAUAUUAAAUAUAUACUAUAUAUAUGUUAAUAUUAUUUAAAUUUAAUUAUAUAUUCUAUCAAAUAGAAAAAAAAUAUUGUUUGGAUUAAUAAAGUUUAUUUAUAUGUUCGCACCAAUUUAAUUAUAUAUGUAAUAGUUACUGAUUUUUUAAUUAUUUAAUAUAUAUUUAUUAUUUAAUAAUAUGUAAAAAACAUAUAAUAAAUAAAAUAAUUUUAUAUAUAAUGUUCAUUCUGCGUAAGGCGCGGAUAUAUAACUUUCAGGAACAGAGGGCACAAGUUGUGGAGUCAAAAAGAAACAUCUUCUUCUACACAUAUCUAUUUAGUAUUGUGAUGCAACAUGUCUUCCUCUUGUUUGCUUGCAGGCAGGAACGAGGCUGUGAUCGAAGAAAGAGAGCAAGGGAUUCAAGAAAUACAUAAUCAGAUUGGAGAGAUUAACAAAAUAUUCAAAGAUCUUGCGGUUCUUGUUAAAGACCAAGGAGUUAUGAUAGGUGAACAAAAUCUAUAAGAGCAUGGCCUCAGUUCUACAGUUGCGGAGCUCACUUUAUUUGUUUAAAUUGGCAGAAGAUAUUGGUACUCACAUUGACAACUCUCGAGCUGAAACUGCUCAAGGAAGAUCUCAGCUCGCACAAGCCUCAAACACACACAAAGAUCAAAACUCAUCUCUGCUUGAUGUUGGAAAAGCAAGAACAAGUUUUUGGAAUGUUUUCAUCGAUCGUAAAAGCAUCAACGAGUAUGUAACGUGACAAAGCUUAGUAGUUGGGUUUAAGGGUGUACUGGUUACUGUAAUAGAGUGGGUGGUGUGGUUUUUUUUAUUUGUUGGAGAUAAGCGUCUUGCUUGUAUUUCUCCUAAAUUCUAAUAAACCGGAACUCUGGAAGUAUCAUGGAAGAGAUUGGUUUUGCACCGGUUCAAACUUGCCAAAAAAAAAGUGAUUGAGAUUGAGAGAAGCGUGUUGCUGCAGUCACAAGGAAGUCCAAAAGCUAAUUUAUCAAGACUGCUUCGGGUUCUUGCAAGCUUCAACCUCGUGCAACAAGAAUUGAAAACGCAAACAUACUCUGUAUGAUUCCUGAUUCCGGCAGCGACAUCCAAGACGAGGGAUCUAGUUUAGGUCUUGGAUCCACUCUCUUGAAGAGGCUGUAUAGAUAAGCAGAGGAACAAUCUUAACGAUAUGAACCUAAACAAGAGAUCGAGAUAAUUGACUUGA